rnacentral:rRNA from 1 species
GAUGAACGCUGGCGGCGUGCCUAAUACAUGCAAGUCGAGCGAACGGACGAGAAGCUUGCUUCUCUGAUGUUAGCGGCGGACGGGUGAGUAACACGUGGAUAACCUACCUAUAAGACUGGGAUAACUUCGGGAAACCGGAGCUAAUACCGGAUAAUAUUUUGAACCGCAUGGUUCAAAAGUGAAAGACGGUCUUGCUGUCACUUAUAGAUGGACCCGCGCUGCAUUAGCUAGUUGGUAAGGUAACGGCUUACCAAGGCAACGAAGCAUAGCCGACCUGGGAGGGUGAUCGGCCACACUGGAACUGAGACACGGUCCGGACUCCUACGGGAGGCAGCCGUAGGGAAUCUUCCGCAAUGGGCGAAAGCCUGACGGAGCAACGCCGCGUGAGUGAUUAAGGUCUUCGGAUCGUAAAACUCUGUUAUUAGGGAAGAACAUAUGUGUAAGUAACUGUGCACAUCUUGACGGUACCUAAUCAGAAAGCCACGGCUAACUACGUG